AUGAGUAAAGCGGCGAACGGGUGAGUAACGCGCGGGAAUCUGCCCAGUAGUGGGGGACAACAGCCGGAAACGGCUGCUAAUACCGCAUACGCCCUACGGGGGAAAGGGGGGGAUCUUCGGACCUCUCGCUAUUGGAUGAGCCCGCGUCGGAUUAGCUAGUUGGUAGGGUAAAGGCCUACCAAGGCUACGAUCCGUAACUGGUCUGAGAGGAUGAUCAGUCACACUGGAACUGAGACACGGCCCAGACUCCUACGGGAGGCAGCAGUGGGGAAUAUUGGACAAUGGGGGCAACCCUGAUCCAGCCAUGCCGCGUGUGUGAAGAAGGCCCUUGGGUUGUAAAGCACUUUCAGUGGGGAGAAAAGUCUGUUACUUAAUACGUGAUGGAAUUGAUGUUACCCACAGAAGAAGCACCGGCUAACUCCGUGCCAGCAGCCGCGGUAAUACGGAGGGUGCAAGCGUUAAUCGGAAUUACUGGGCGUAAAGCGCACGUAGGUGGUUUGUUAAGUCAGCUGUGAAAUCCCCGGGCUCAACCUGGGC
rnacentral:rRNA from 1 species